UGUAUACCUGGUUGCCAUGGAGACUAGGAGUUCCGAGGGGCCUCCAGGCAGUUGGCCCCACGAUUGCCUCCCUGGCCACCAUUACAGGCAGAGGACUCUCUAGGCAGGUCCAGCCCCAAAAGCACAGAGGACUCCUCCAAGACCAUGGGUCUCCAGGAGCUCCUGGAUGGCAUCCUCAGGGGGCUGAAAUCUCCCCACACUGACAUCACUCUGAAGUUCCUUGACCUGGCUGGCCGGCUGGGGCCCCUGCUGCACCAGGAAGACCGGGUCCUCCAAAGGCUCACCUGUCUGUCACCCGCCUUCUCUUCCACCAUGAGGCAGCCAAGAUCUGGAAGGCAGUCCUAGAAUGCUGAAGUAAUCACAAACAUAUACGGCUUGUAACAGAUACAACAAAAAUAGUAUACAAUGAAACGUACGUUUGUUAUAUUCACAAUACUGAUUAUUGUUUUUUUCUUUCACCAAACUUUCUGCAUUUUCACCCUUCAAAUGGAACAUCCGAAAGAACUAAAUCACAACAACACAUAUGAUUGUUUAUUUAAUAAAAUUAUGGGUAUAGCUUUUAAACAAUUGCAACACUACCAUUACUUUCUGUAAACCUGUGAAGGUAGCCCGUUAAAUGUGAUUUCUGAGCAACAAGUGUAUCACCACAACUUUAUCACCUGGCCUCAUUAAGUUGACUAUUAAAU